GGGGGCGUAGUCUAGUGGCCUAGGACGCAUGCCUGUCACGCAUGAAAUCGCGGGUUCAAAUCCCGUCGCCCCCGCCA
rnacentral:tRNA from 1 species